rnacentral:rRNA from 1 species
UACGUAGGGUGCGAGCGUUAAUCAGAAUUACUGGGCGUAAAGUGUGCGCAGGUGGCUUCGCAAGUCGAGUGUGAAAUCCCCGGGCUUAACCUGGGAAUUGCGCUCGAAACUACGGAGCUGGAGUAUGGCAGAGGGAGGUGGAAUUCCACGUGUAGCGGUGAAAUGCGUAGAGAUGUGGAGGAACACCAAUGGCGAAGGCAGCCUCCUGGGCCAAUACUGACACUCAUGCACGAAAGCGUGGGGAGCAAACAGG